GACGAACGCUGGCGGCGUGCUUAACACAUGCAAGUCGAACGAUGAUGCUGGAGCUUGCUCCAGUUGAUUAGUGGCGAACGGGUGAGUAACACGUGAGCAAUCUGCCCUUGACUCUGGGAUAACUGCGGGAAACUGUAGCUAAUACCGGAUACUUUCACCGGGGGGCAUCCUCUGGUGAUGAAAGAAUUUCGGUCAAGGAUGAGCUCGCGGCCUAUCAGCUUGUUGGUGAGGUAACGGCUCACCAAGGCGACGACGGGUAACCGGCCUGAGAGGGGGACCGGUCACACUGGGACUGAGACACGGCCCAGACUCCUACGGGAGGCAGCAGUGGGGAAUAUUGCACAAUGGGCGCAAGCCUGAUGCAGCAACGCCGCGUGAGGGAUGAAGGCCUUCGGGUUGUAAACCUCUUUUAGCAGGGAAGAAGCGAAAGUGACGGUACCUGCAGAAAAAGCACCGGCUAACUCUGUGCCAGCCGCCGCCGUAA
rnacentral:rRNA from 1 species